rnacentral:misc_RNA from 1 species
CUUGUUAUUGAAGGUCUUCACCCAAUGUUUGAUGAACGUGUGAGGGACCUCUUAGACUUCAGCAUCUAUUUGGACAUAAGCAAUGAGGUUAAAUUUGCAUGGAAAAUUCAGAGGGACAUGGCAGAGCGAGGACACAGUCUUGAAAGCAUUAAAGCCAGUAUUGAAGCACGCAAGCCUGACUUCGAUGCUUAUAUUGAUCCACAAAAGCAAUAUGCUGAUGCUGUGAUUGAAGUGCUGCCAACCCA